rnacentral:rRNA from 1 species
AGUGAACGCUGGCGGCGUGCCUAAUACAUGCAAGUCGAACGAAGUGGCGCACGGGUGAGUAAUAUAUAGUUAAUCUGCCCUCCACAGAGGAACAAUAGUUGGAAACGGCUGCUAAUACCUCAUAGUGUAGGCUGAGACGAUAUCGUAUCAGCGAGUUGGUAAGGUAAUGGCGUACCAAGGGUAUGACGCGUAACUGGUCUGAGAGGAUGAUCAGUCACAUUGGAACUGAGACACGGUCCAAACUCAUACGGGAGGUAGCAGUAAGGAAUAUUGCGCAAUGGGGGAAACCCUGACGCAGCAACGGCGCGUGGAGGAUGACAAUUGUCGGAGAGUAAACUCCUUUUAUCAGGAAAGCGGGACCUGAUGAAUAAGCACCGGCUAACUCCGUGCCAGCAGCCGCGGUAAUAC